UCACAAGCGGUGGAGCAUGUGGUUUAAUUCGAUGCAACGCGAAGAACCUUACCUACUCUUGACAUCCAGAGAACUUAGCAGAGAUGGAUUGGUGCCUUCGGGAACUCUGAGACAGGUGCUGCAUGGCUGUCGUCAGCUCGUGUUGUGAAAUGUUGGGUUAAGUCCCGCAACGAGCGCAACCCUUAUCCUUUGUUGCCAGCGGUUCGGCCGGGAACUCAAAGGAGACUGCCAGUGAUAAACUGGAGGAAGGUGGGGAUGACGUCAAGUCAUCAUGGCCCUUACGAGUAGGGCUACACACGUGCUACAAUGGCGCAUACAAAGAGAAGCGACCUCGCGAGAGCAAGCGGACCUCAUAAAGUGCGUCGUAGUCCGGAUUGGAGUCUGCAACUCGACUCCAUGAAGUCGGAAUCGCUAGUAAUCGUGGAUCAGAAUGCCACGGUGAAUACGUUCCCGGGCCUUGUACACACCGCCCGUCACACCAUGGGAGUGGGUGCAAAAGAAGUAGGUAGCUUAACCUUCGGGAGGGCGCUUACCACUUGUGAUCAGCCGGC
rnacentral:rRNA from 1 species